GCCCCUGUAGCCCAGUGGAUAGAGCAAUGGAUUCCUAAUCCAUGUGCCGCAGGUUCGAUUCCUGCCAGGGGCACCA
rnacentral:tRNA from 1 species